rnacentral:tRNA from 1 species
CGCGGCGUAGCUCAGUGGCGGAGCGCCGGGUUUAUACCCCCGGAGGUCGCAGGUUCGAAUCCUGCCGCCGCAACUA